AGAGCGAACGCUGGCGGCAGGCUUAACACAUGCAAGUCGAACGCUCUUGGGGCUUCGGUCUCAGGGGAGUGGCGCACGGGUGAGUAGCGCGUGGGAACCUGCCCUGUUGUGGGGGAUAACCGAGGGAAACUUCGGCUAAUACCGCAUAAGCCGGUUGUCUUGAAGGAGAUGGCCGGGAAAGAUUUAUCGCGACAGGAGGGGCCCGCGUCGGAUUAGCUAGUUGGUGGGGUAACGGCCCACCAAGGCGGUGAUCCGUAGCUGGUCUGAGAGGAUGAUCAGCCACACUGGGACUGAGACACGGCCCAGACUCCUACGGGAGGCAGCAGUGGGGAAUAUUGGACAAUGGGCGCAAGCCUGAUCCAGCAAUGCCGCGUGAGUGAUGAAGGCCUUAGGGUUGUAAAGCUCUUUCGCCCGCGACGAUGAUGACGGUAGCGGGAGAAGAGCCCGGCUAACUUCGCGCCAGCAGCCGC
rnacentral:rRNA from 1 species